rnacentral:rRNA from 1 species
GCGGAGGGAUCAUUACCGAGUUUACAACUCCCAAACCCAUGUGAACAUACCUAUCGUUGCUUCGGCGGGAUUGCCCCGGGCGCCUCGUGUGCCCCGGAUCAGGCGCCCGCCUAGGAAACUCAACUCUUGUUUUAUUUGGAAUCUUCUGAGUAGUUUUUACAAAUAAAUAAAAACUUUCAACAACGGAUCUCUUGGUUCUGGCAUCGAUGAAGAACGCAGCGAAAUGCGAUAAGUAAUGUGAAUUGCAGAAUUCAGUGAAUCAUCGAAUCUUUGAACGCACAUUGCGCCCGCCAGUAUUCUGGCGGGCAUGCCUGUCUGAGCGUCAUUUCAACCCUCAUGCCCCUAGGGCGUGGUGUUGGGGAUCGGCCAGAGCCCGCGAGGGACGGCCGGCCCCUAAAUCUAGUGGCGGACCCGUCGUGGCCUCCCCUGCGAAGUAGUGAUAUUCCGCAUCGGAGAGCGACGAGCCCCUGCCGUUAAACCCCCAACUUUCCAAGGUUGACCUCAGAUCAGGUAGGAAUACCCGCUGAACUUAAGCAUAUCA